GCGGAGCAGCCAGUAGCGGCCCCCGAUAGUGUUCGGGUUGCAAGGGUCCGCCCGCCCUACAGCUGUGAUAAGGUAAACAGCGGGCCGCGUCAUCUUCGGGAGAGGAGGGAUUGAGCCCCAUCCCGCCUCCUCUGAGGCGUGUUGCUGCGGUAGGUGUAGGGUGCAGUCCGUGCCCGGCGAGCCCCUGCCCGGCAGUGCCAGAGGACGGGCCUGCCCUGAUCCUUCCGUACCCCGUGAUUCAUGGGAGCGGCGCUCCCCAGAGGAGCAAGGAGGGCCAUACGCUCUCUCCUGAAAGCACCAAACACUUCCUGGAAUACCCACCGCGACAUGGAAACAAGGCUCGCUUCGCUCCAGGAGCAGAUCUGUUCCCCCGCUACUAGGUUCCUUUCGCCAACCCAGCGAGAGGCGCUUGGUGGUGUUAAGCUGAGCGCAUUGACGUGUCCGUUUGUUACGACGUUAGACCGACCCACUAAGACUGCCUACUCAGCGCUGACAGGAGAGGAGCUAAACUAAUGGUUGUAUCUUCAGAGGCACCGAGACGCUGGGCUUCCCCCAUUUAAGCCCCAAGUCUGCAAAGCGAUUCACAGGGGAGCGCCCUUUGGCUUUUUUCUUUUGUGUCCCACUGAAGUCGAUAGAAGUUCCUGGGGUCGCCUGCAUCUGCCGUCCUAGCUCCGACAGCAGGGCCCCAUUUGCUUUGUCAGCACCUCGCCUCCUCGGGAAGUUUUGACUAAACUUAUCCAAAGGCUGUGCUAAAACCAUGCUGGACUGAUACGCAGUGAGCUCGGCCGUAGGGCAGGGCUUUAAAAAUGAAUCCAAUUCUGAUUUCAGCUUUCCUAUUUUCACUUUCAGAGCUUUCCCCCAUUUUGAUGCAAGACUGUUACCGGGCUUCUUUGCAAACAGCUUGAUAUUAGAAAUCUGCAUCUUGUGUUAUAUGGGGUAUUUCCAGGCUGCACAGUUUUCUGCCUUCACUGUGUAUUUCCCAGCACAGACAGAUUGCAAAGGGCACCUGCUUGCUUUGUCUUCAGAGACUGAUAACAGAGUGAUUGUCAACAAUUGCACUCAAGCCUGUCCCUUGCCACAGAUUUCCCCCAUUUAUAGCUGCAAGAGGAACAUGGCAUAAACACAGUAAUGUACAGAAACAAACGAGUUCAGAAUGUGGCCAUCUGUCUAGAUUUUGUCAAUUCUUAGCUAAUUUUAAACAACUUUCUUUUGUAAGAUAUCCUAGUUAACAAAAGUAAAGAACAAGAUGUGUAUCAGGUUAUUUGUAUGCAUUUUAGUCCCGUACUCCCAUCUUUAAUUUAAAAAUUAAUCUUACCUGUAUUUGCUUUUGAAAAUUUGCAUUUUCUAAAAUUAUAAACAUUCAGUAUUUUAAUAUCACAAAUGUUUUAGUCACUGGAUGAAGCUUAUCACUUGCUCACAAUAUUAUACACCUCUACUCCAAUAUAACGCGACCCAAUAUAACAUGAGUUCAGAUAUAACGCUGUAAAGCAGCGCUCUGGGUGGGUGGGUGGGGGGGAGGUGUUGACGCUCCAGGGGAUCAAAGCAAGUUCGAUAUAACGCGGUUUCACCUAUAACGUGGUAAGAUUUUUUUGGCUCCCGAGGAGAGCGUUAUAUCGGGGUAGAGGUGUACAUUUUCUAUCAAACACUGCAUCAAGGUAACAAAUUCCAUUUUAAACAUUUCAAUUAAAAGAAAAGUACUAUGGCAGAGUUUAGAGUACAUUUGGAUCUCGAAAUAAAUUUAAUUACUACAAAUGUGUGUUUUUCAGUUUUUCCUGGACUUGUUAUCCAGUUUACAGAUAGACAUAUCUGGUCCCAUUUACAGUCCUCAUUUGCAAGAUUAUUUUUUUCAAGAGUGUGUUUGUACAAGCAAAAUUUUAUUUGCUCCAUGUCCUUUAUAUGUAAAGUAGAAAUUUCAGCAUUUAAACUUAAUGAAGUUAAAUGCUCUGCUUGAAAGAUGAAAGGCACAUAUCCAAUACUAUUACACUGAACUGAAAAAAAAAAAGAUUUGUAAUUCCCAGUCAUCUUCUAUAUCAAAACAAUGCUAAAAAACUUGCUUCACUGUAGCUUCCUUCCCCAAUCUAAUACUUUUAAAUAGUACUGCCAAAGUGUUUAAUGGAUAACUACUUUUAAACUAUGGAUGUGUUAUUAGUUUACUAAAUUAAGUUUCAUGUCUUGUAUGAGAAUACAACUUUUAUUAAUUCUUUAAACAUGCUCAGAAUCCUAAAUAUUGUACUUUCAUCCAAUUAAAAAAACUUUUAUUAUUGUAAAAUUAGGAGAGAUUACAGAAGAUCUAAACUGCCAUCUUCUGUAAUGUAGUCUGUGUAACUCUAACAUGUUGUAAAAAGAAAGGUAUGUUUGUAGCCAUGUGCUGAUUACACUUUAAAAAAAGGACUGUCCACGUAUCUGAAACAUUGGUUGUCUUAAUUCUACAGCAGAAUAUAAGGUGCUUUAAACAAUACA